rnacentral:rRNA from 1 species
GCUCAUGGCCACACCGGCCUGAGUACGCCUGAUCUUGUCCGAUCUCGGAAGCUAAGCAGGGUCGGGCCUGGUUAGUACUUGGAUGGGAGACCGCCUGGGAAUACCAGGUGCUGCAAGCU